CACUUUAAAUUAAGACAUUGUCAUUUUCGCUCAGCCAAUCAACUCUCCGCUAAGAUAAGGCGAGUAGUGAGCUUGCGUCAACAAAGUUAUGCAGCAUCUCUCCUUGCAGAAUAUUUUCAGCUUCGUAGUCAUUCAGUUUUCUUUAUUCAUAAAAGUGAAGAUGCCUUUAAUAGUGCUUUCACUUAGCCUUCUUUGCUUUACGGUUUAUGUCCAUAGCCAGAGCUGUAUCGUAGAAGACAUUGACAUUGAUUGCAAUAAAGCCGUGCCAACUGUGUUCAAGUUAUCGGAUUCUUCCUGUCCAUGCAACGACGCAUCUCAUUCUGGGGCGUUGAAGUUUGCAGAUAACCAGAUCUAUGUUUGUAACGGCAAAGGAUGGAAAAUGGUUCUCUUAAUUAAAAGAAAAGAGGUAAAAAAAAUGGUCCCUAUGGUAGUGAGAGUAACCCGGGACUAUCUUGCGACGAUAUUUACGAUGAACGAAUAAGGGACGGACAACUUGAAGAUGGAAUUUACUGGUUGCAUUUAAAUAUGAUUGGAUCCCUAAAGCACGAAGCGUUUCCAGUCUAUUGUGACAUGAAAAACAAAGGCUGGACUAUGGUAUUCAAAAUAAUGAGUGGAGUUGAAACAUCACCCUGGAGCGUGUUAAGCUCAUUGUCCACUUUUAAUGAGCUUGAAAAAGAAGCCCUUGAUGUCACAAAUACUAGCUUUGGACAGCACUACAAAAACCGAAUAAUGUUGUUUUGGGAGAAUUUUAAUCCUGCACAGGCACGAAUGUCUGUUCACAAAGAUGGCUCAGAGAGGAGAAAGCUUAUUUUCAAUGCUCAAAAGUCAAAUUUUCACUCCUGGUUUAAUCGGACACUACUGACUUACUCUUCAUGGGUUGAUCUCCCGCCUUACAAAAGCAUUGGUGUUUUUUCUAUGAAGGGACCUUGUAAACCCGAAAGGGGGAUUUGUAACAGUUUCCGCAUAACCUUCAAAUAUACAAAAUACAAUUUUUGUCACAGCGACAACAUGGGUUGGAUCUACCGAGGAACCUUCCAGGAUUGCGAAUGGGAGAAAGAAAAGAUGCAUAAGAUCUACUUUUGUCGAGGGGACUAUGCUUGCAAGUUCGAGAAGGAAGGGGAUACGCAGGUUGCUGAUUUUGUCGCCAUAUUCGCCACGAGGAGGAGGUAAAUGAUUUCUGAGAAAAAAGCUUUCUAUGAUCCUGGAGUUGUAUCAGGGUGGAAGUAAGUCGGAACAUUGGAAAUUUCCUCCCGAAAGGCGGUGAAACGGGAUGACCUCUUGUAUGUUGCUUUCCUGUUUGACAGCAUUUAGUUACAUUGUUGACCGGCAUUUUGGUCUUAAACCUUAAGAAGGAACCGUUGAAGUGUCAUGUUUCUACAAAUUCGUUUUGGUAUUUUGGACAAGUUGUAAUUUUGGUCAAAAGAUUGUUCACAGGUUUUGAAUAAAAUGACCUUUUCUUUUA